UACGGAGGGUGCUAACGUUGUCCGGAAUUAUUGGGCGUAAAGCGCAUGUAGGUGGACCGGUAAGUAGGUAAUGAAAGACCGAUGCUUAACAUCGGGCACGUGACCUAUACUGUCGGUCUUGAGGAUAGCAGGGGUAAGCGGAACUUUAGGUGUAGGAGUGAAAUCCGUAGAUAUCUAAAGGAACACCAAUGGCGAAGGCAGCUUACUGGGCUAUUUCUGACACUGAGAUGCGAAAGCGUGGGGAGCGAACGGG
rnacentral:rRNA from 1 species